AGCGAUGGGACCUCCGGCUGAGUGGAGGAGAGAUGCACACACUGGUGAGACCUUCAGCACAUUAAUGGAUGGAGAUUUGACGUAUACAGUGCGGCUGGAUAACAAUACUUGGACAACAGCAUCUUUGAGUGUGUUUCAAAGAAUGAACGAGGGACUGGGAACUCACUGGAGAUGCGACCCCAUCCAGUGACGUAGCAGGACUCGUUGUGGGGGAGGAGGAAACCUGCAGCAGGGAGACAAGCCGCCAUGAUGCUGUCAGAGAAGCUAACAGGCGUCUCCAGCUUGAUCAGAGCGAUGUCGUUACUGCAGAGGAAACACACACACACACACACACACACACACACACACACACACAUACACAAACACAUAGA